AUGCAGAAGCAUCUUCUUCUUCCCAUAUCACUAUAUAAUGGAUGUUGAACAAAUUCCCUGCCCUAUGAGGGUAAGGAGUCUCAGACUCCGGAAUCUCAUCCAUUAUGCCUUCGUAAGGACUAAAGAUAAGCUCCACCGCCCAGGUUCCUCCUCGUAAAACCUUUGCCACAGACCUUCUAAUGAAGUUUCAGGAAUAGGUUCCUUAACAUAGUCCGAUUUCCCUUUGAAGAACACUGCUGUACCUGUCCUGUUAAGCAAAAUAUCUAACGAAUUAAUAGAGAAAAGAAACAUUAAAUAAAUUAAUAAAACAAAAAAAAUGAAAAGUUAAUUAUAAUCAAUCUAAACAAAAUUUAAAAAAAAGACUAAAGAGAAACAAAUAAAUUAAUUAAAUAUUUAAUAUAAAAAUAUUUGAAUUAGAACAUAAAUAAAACAUUAUAUUUGUUCUCAAAAAUAAAAACAUACUUUUAUCUAACUUUUUUAACAAUAUUUAAAUAUCUUAUCUUUUAUAUAAAAAUGCAAACUCUCAAUUCAUCCAUGCUUCCUAGUACAUAAUUCAUUAACUUAGAAUGAACCAUCAUAUAAGUUCUAAAUAAAUCCUAAUACCCAGUUAAUUCAAAUUUAAAUUUAUUUUCUUUUGCUUAAUUAUUAAUUUUAAUAUAAACCAUAUUUUAAGGAGCACUAAAGGUAGAAAUUGGACUUACUUGUUCAUGAGUAUAACAUGGCUUUCAUUUAUUUUUAGCUUUUGUCGAUUUCUGUCAAAACCAAUAAAUCAUAAUCAUCAGAUAAAAAAAUUUAUCUUCUUCAAUUUCUAAUUCUAAUAAUAAUAAAUAAAAUAAUCUUGGUUUGAAUGGGAUGGCCUCUCUUAUGCUCUUUAUUUUCGUUCUUAAAUUCUAAUUUCAGUAUAUAAUAGUUUAUUAAACACGCACUUAAACAUAUACAUAUAUAUGUAUGCAUGUAUAUAUAUAUAGAAUCAUAAUUAAAUUGAAAACAUGAUAAAUUAACAUUUGAUAAAUUUGAAUUUAAAAUGUAUGCUAAAUUUUUUAUUUUUUGAUAGAUUUUGAUUUAAAUUUAAAUAAUUAUACAAAAUAUUAGAUAUAAAUAAUUUGUUAAAUAGAAUUAUUUGGUAGAAAAUAAAAUUUUAUUAAGUAUAUAUAUUUGGAAUUGUGAUUAAAUUUAAACAUAAAAGAUAAAUUAUAAUUUAAUAUAUUUGAAUUCAAAAUUUAUAUAAAAUUUUCAGUCUUAGAUUUUGAUUUAAAUUUAAAUAAUUAUCCAAAAUAUUAAAUUUGAAUAACUUACUAAAGAAAUUUAUUUGACAAAUAAAAUAAUAUAAAUAUUAUCUUAUGUGUCAUCAAAAGAGAUUAUUCACCUAAAUAUCUACAUAAAUAAUUUUUAUCAUGUAAUCUUAUAUAUUGUAAUAUAUAUAUAUAUAUAUAUAUGAUUAUACGAUUUAGUUUACCAAUAAAAGUUACUUUAAUUCCACUAUAGAAUGUUACCCCGUUCAACAACUAGUAACACUGCAUCGACCAAACUAUAAACAAAGGGAAUUUUAUAUGCAGCCAUUUUUUCUCUUUAUAACCACAUGUUAAAUACAUCCAUAUUUCAAACCCUCUUUAGGAAAACUUUUUCACCACAACCAAUUGAAUCACAAGUGCAUUUACAUUCAAACCAUUAACAGCCAAAAUCACAACCUCACCCAUUUUCCUUUUGUCUGAAAUCACCGUCAGAUAUUAGCUAUGUGUAAGUUGUUUUUCUGAAUCUCAAAUCAGAACGCUUUCUAAUCAUUUUCCUUAUAGUCUUUGUCGCGACAUGCUUUGGUUUCGCAUUCCACCUUCAUUUUCGGUAUCCUAGUAUUUUUAAAAUCACUAUAGUACUUUAAUCAUUAAGAUGAUUUUAUUAUUAAAAUGAUCUUAUCAUUCGUAAUAAUGAAUCAUUUUAUUUGAUUAAGAAUAAUUAAUUUUUAAUAAUUAAAGUUCUUUAUGUUCGGUGAUUUUAAAAAUCAAAUAUUAUUUUGUUUAAAAGUACUAAAAUAACAACGUACAUUAUAAUAAUUACAUAAGUUAUGAUUUUAAUGUUAUUUAAAGAAAAUAAUUUGUAUAUAAAAUAUUAAUAAUAUUUUAUUUAUUUCAUAAUAAAUAUAAUUAAAUUAUUAAAUUAAAAAUAGAUUUAUUGACAAUAAACUAGUUUUGAUAGUAUAAAUUAUAUUUGAAUUAAAAAAAUAAAACUAAUAUAUUAAAAUCAAAAGAUUAUAUUAUAAAUAAAUUUAAAAAAAUUAAAAAAUUUGCACAAAACUUAUUACAAUAAAUAUUAGUUUGAAAAUAUAACAAUUAUAAUAUAAACUAAUAACAAUUAAUUAUAAGAAAAAAAUUUUAAUUAACAUAUUAAAUGGGUAAUAUUAACUUUUAUUAAUUUUAUAUAUUACUUCAUCUCGGUGAUAAAAGUUUUUCACCUCUUUAGAUGGGAAUUAAAUUACCUUCUAAGAUAGUGAUCAAAUUACUAUCGAUGAUUUAAUAUUACUGUUAUGUAGGAUUAUUAAAUGGUUACCAAAUAUGUUGAUCUGAUGCCUAUAAAAUAAAUGAUGUGGUAAAUCAUCAUAAGUUUUUGAUUAAAUCACUAUACCAAAUACUAUUUAGAUAAUUAUAAAUAUGAUGUUAGUUGUAUAAAUAAGAAGAUGAAGUUGAGUUUAUGAAGUAAGAUUGAAAGAAGUGAAUAUUAGAUGGUAUGUUUGAAGGCUCAAAAGUAUUUAAUAGGCUAAUUAAUUAAUUUCACUUUAUGAGUAAUUUUAUAUAAAAAAUUUUAAUUUUUGGUAUAAAAUGAAACAAUGUGGCUGAUAUAAAAUAUAAAAAAUCUAAAUUUUUUUAGAUGUAAAUUAUAGAACUUUUUUUAUCUAAGGGCUUUCAAAUAUUUUCAAAUUUGAUCUCGCACAUUAAUUUGAUCAAUUUUCUGUUAUUUUUUUAGCUUUUUGUCUUAAUUUUUUUCUUCCUCUUGUAUUUAUUUUACCUAUUUUGCUUUUAUUUACUUAUUUGUUAUUUUUUCAAAAAUAAAAAAAAUAGAAAAACCAAAAAAUAUUUAAGAAAAAGAAGAAAAAUAAAGAGGGAGAAUUUUUUUGGAACAAGAAUUCUUUUAAACACUUAAACUUUUUUUCUUUUGAUUUUUUGUAUUGGGUAAUAAAUUAAUAAAUAAAAUUUAUUAUUAUAUAAUAAAUAAAUAACUUCUAUUUUUAUUUUUUAUUGUAUAACAUUAAUAAAUAAAUAAAUUUUAAUAUUAUAUAAUAAAUUAAUAAAUAUAUUUUAUUUUAUUUUUUUAUUAAUUUUAAAUUACUUAUUAAUUUUUAUUCUAAAUACUAUUAAUGAUCAUUUUAUUUUCUCAUUACAAUUUAUUCUACCAUCACCAUUAUUUUUUGAUUGAAAUACAUAUAUAAUUAUUAAUUUUAAUCUUAUCAUUACAAUAAUUAAUUUUAUUAUUAUUUUUAAUUUCAUCAAAAUUAAUUUUAUCACUCAUCUAAAUAAACUUGAUCUUGUCGAGGAAGCCAAUGAACUCUUUGUGACUAGAGAACGUUUUGGUGCCAUUUUGGUUGUCGAAGACUUAUCAAUUAGUGAUCGGCAGCCAAAUUUCUCUUUCGAAUGAUGCACCGUAAGUGUACCUAUGAAAAUCAUAAAAGAAAUCUUACCUUUCUACGACGGAAACCAACUUGAGAAGAUGAUUCCCAACGUCCAAAUGCUCCAGCAAUUAUCACUCCUCUCGUGGUUAUUUUGUCUCUCUAGCACAGUGAAAUAUGAGAGGAUAAAUAGGAAAAAAAAUUAUUUUUCUCUCGAAAUCUAAUAAAAUUUCUUAGGAAAGAGGAUUUAGAUUUUUUCUAAUUUUCUUUUUAUUGACAAUGUUGUUAUUUGUGAUGGAAAUAAGAAUUUAUCAAAUUAAUUAUAAAAUCAAAUUACGAAAAAUAAAAAUUAGAUUAUAAUUGGCGAAUCAAACAUCCAGUCAAAAAUCUAAAACCCCUGUAUGUUAUUAUUUGGGCCAGCUAAAACUUCGGCCUAAAACAAUGUAUGGUCCAAAAAAAAUAAAGAUGGGCUGGGAUAUAUUACAACUUGUAUGCUCGAGCCGGUGUCUGUCGUUGAUCUCGAGUCAUAUUCCACGCACAAAAAAUAGUCAAUGUAAUUUAUUUGAGAAAGCCAAAAACUAUACAACAAAUUAUUUAAAUAACACAAAAAAAAAAGAUAUACAACAAAUUUUUAUUAAAAAUACAUAUAAUGGAUGUUCCCAAACGGACACUCCAAUGAAUAGAACUUAGAAAUUUGAUCAUGAAAGUAGCAGAUUCAAAUAUUGAGAAGAAAAGAUGGAGAUUAGGGGUGGAAGAGCAGCAGCUACUUUCUUGUGUAUUUUGUAUAUGCAGGCCAAGUCCGCAAGACACAGGAUAUUUUCUUUGUUGUAAAAUGGAUAUAUAUAAUUAUUUAGGAGAUUGCACAUGGUCAAUAUCCUUGAUCUUCAACAUGCCUUUUAUUUUUGCUUAGCUAGUCUAUAAAAUCCUAUUUAAUUAUUGAGAAUAAAUCAUCAUCUCUCCUUCCUCAGCCCAGUAAAAGAGAAGGGAUACUCUGUUCAUGUCUAAAGAAAUUUUGCGGAUCAACCAUUCUCUUCACAUGAAUCAAUCGGUUGAAGUUGUUGUUGAAAUAUUUAAGACCCCAUUUGCUUGCUUGUCUAUAGCUCGUGUAUCUGCCUUUGUUAUUGCUUCCGAGGUCAAGAUCCCUGUAGUUCAUGUAAGCUGAUCUGGGAGAUUUUGAAACGUAGGGUUCCAUGUACCUGUAAAGCCUUCUCAUAUAACUUAUAUGCUUCUGAGAUGCAGAAGCAUCUUCUUCUUCCCAUACCACUACAUAAUGGAUGUUGAACAAAUUCCCUGCCCUAUGAGGGUAAGGAGUCUCAGACUCCGGAAUCUCAUCCAUUAUGCCUCCGUAAGGACUAAAGAUAAGCUGCACCGCCUCAGGUUCCUCCUCGUAAAACCUUUGCCACAGACCUUCUAAUGCAGUUUCAGGAAUAGAUUCCUUAACAUAGUCCGAUUUCCCUUUGAAGAACACCGCUGUACCUGUCCUGUUAAGCAAAAUAUCUAAC
rnacentral:lncRNA from 1 species